UGAGAGCCCAUCACAAGCCAAGGAGAUGCAAGAAGGCAUCUGCUGGGAUUUCUAGAAAAGAGACGCUUCCUCUUUCUUCUACUUAAGAGAGACACCUUGAAGCUUGCUGGAUGCCUCAGAGGGAAGUGAGAGAGAAACAAGCACCAGAGAAGGCAGAGUGAGGAAACAGAGAAAUUGGGACUUUGGAGACAUUGUUUGAGCUGCUGGACCAAGCCUUGCCUGAAAGCAGCAUAUCUAGACUUCAACAUCCCCACUCUGAGGAGCUUCUGGGAGAGUUGGCUAGGUCUUUCCCAAGCCUGGGAAGCAGAAGCCGGGGCAGAUUAACAAUGCCAAUUACUAAGAUCCUGCAGUCGAUGAAAGUUCCAGGGAGAUGCUGUUGCUGAUGGUCCAGGGACCACACUUUUGAGAACCACGUGGCUGGAUGAACUCAGAUUCUUUUGAGUAGUGACAUUGAAUGGCUUCUUCCAAGUACUGCUGAGUCCGCUGGUUUCCCUUGUGAUCCAUGACCCACUUCCCCAGUGACUCUGCUCACAUGGGUCCUGACAGAGAUGAUGUCCUGCGAGUUUUCUGGCAAACCCAGAGGAGAGGUCCAGAGAGUGGAUCCGGGGGCUUUGCAGCAAUGGAGUGGGCUUUCAGCAAACUCAAACAUGGCACAGGUUCCAUGAUGGCCAGAGCCAGCUCUUGGAGUCUCUCCUCUUCUUGCCUUUGUCCCUAGCACUGAGCUCAGUGCCUGGACAUAGUAGCUGCCCAGCAGAUAUAUGAUGGCUAAAUGUAAACUGGAUGUCUCACAGUGUGUUCAGGAUAGAGCCAGGAUAGAACCUGGCUCUUCUGGGAGAGAACACCAGUGCCUGCUUUGGGCUGACAAGUCCUUUAUGUGUGCAUUAAUGCUGUGCGAUUGGAAGGGCUGGAGUUGGAGGUGAGAGCAAACCUACAGAAAGGGGCCAUUAGGUGUGGUCUCUACAAAGCAGGGCAGGGGACAUACACCUGUCAGGUCAUCACUGUGUCCCUGGUGCUCACACCAUGCCUGUCCCAGAAACAGGCUUCAUAACUAUUGUCAGAUUAGCAGAUGAAAGAGGUAGGUUCCUAACUCAGGGCUGAGAUGGGCCUCCGGGGGCCUGUGACCCUUUGAAAUGGUGAGCACGCUGAAGAGAUCACAGCUCUAUGAGGGGCUAUGUCACACGACAGGUCCUAUGGAGCACUAAUGCCCUUCUGGUCUUCACAAAGUUAAUCAGAUCUCUUUCUUACAGACCUUUUCAGAGCCUUUAAUAUGCUAAUAAACUCUGGGAUUCCCAGAGGGGAUUAAGAGUGCUGAGUUGCCCAGUGGUAUUGACCAGGGGAUGCUUUUAUCAGUGACUAUUUUGUGGCAUUCUUGGUCUGCAGGACACACUGACGUGGAAUCAGGUCACAAACUGCUGUCUCACAGGUCAAAUCCAGCUUCAGAUAUUUUUCACUAGGCCAUUGUAGGGUUUUAAAAGGCAAUAACUCUUACUUAAACAUUUUUAUUUUUAUUUUUUAAUUUUUAUUUAUUUAUUUAUUUUUUUGAGACAGAGUCUCGCUCUAUCGCCCAGGCUGGAGUGUAGUGGGGCGAUCUUGGCUCGCUGCAACCUCCACCUCCUGGGUUCAAGCGAUUCUCCUGCCUCAGCCUCCCAAGUAGCUGGGACUACAGGGCCCACGUCACCAGACCCGGCUGAUUUUUUUUUAUUUUUAGUAGAGACGGAUUUCAUGUUAGCCAAGAUGGUCUCCAUAUCCUGACCUCAUGAUCCGCCCACUUCGGCCUCCCAAAGUGCUGGGAUUACAGGCGUGAGCCACCGUGCCCGGCCAAACAUUUUUAAAAACUAAACUUGCAGUUUUGCUCUAAGAAAUAAGAAGUGUGCAUUCUGGGCCCACAUUCCUGCCUGGCGAUAACUGUAGAGCAGGAAGGGCCUUUGCUCUGCUGUUUGCCACAGUUCCCACCAUGCCCUACUGCCUUGCACUCUGUUCAGUUAUAUAUUUACCUUCCUUGUCUGGCCCUAAGCCUUCUCAGUUUGCUAGCAGCGACCCAGAAUGUCACCUGCCAUCCCAGCAAGCUGAGCUUUGCCCUGGAGGGGCAUAUGAAUGUCUGAAUCUCCUUACUGGCUCGGACAUUUUCUAGGGAAGGAAGGGACCCCGAGGGAUGGCUCCAGGGAAGGGUGUCUGGGCUUGCCUGGGGAGAGCAAACAGCUCCAGUGACAGCCCCCAGCCUGGGCAGGAUAAAGGGGAAGGGAGAGAAAGGGGCAGCUCAAAUUUCCUUUUAGAGGUCUUUUUGCUGUGGGGGAGCAGGGGAGUGAAGGGGAAGGUUGGGGGUAGGGAGGUGGGUGGGGGUAGGGAGGAGGAACAGGGCCUGAGACUGGCUCAUACCUCCCCAGAAGCUAAUUGUUUUGCCUCCUUCUGUGUGAGAGGUCACAGCUGGGCACACUACUAGGGGGAAUCUUGAGGAGCUCACGGGCUGCAGCUGCUGACGCAGGGCUGUGACCACCUGGCUGGGGGCCUAGGGCUGGCAUAAAACUGGGCACAGGGUCUGGGUCAAAUUUCAGGAUCUACAUGGCCAGAAGUUCAAACUGAAACAGGAAUAUGAUUGUCCUGAGCUAUAAUUUGAAUGCUUCCUAUAUUAGUAUAGGUGUGUUAAGCCUUUAAUAAAAUUUCUUAUUUAAUUUAUUUUAUUUUAUUUUAUUUGAGACAGGGCCUUUUUCUGUAGCCUGGGCUGGAGGGCAGUGGUGUGAUCAUAGCCUACUGCAGCCUUGAACUCCUGGGCUCAAGUGCUCAGAUGAUCCUCCUGCCUUAGCCUUCCAAGUAGCUGGGGCUACAAGCACACACCACCACACCUGGCUCGUUUGUUUAUUUUUAUUUUUUUGUAGAUACAGAAUCUCACUAUGUUGCCCAGGCUGGUCUCAAACUCUUGGGCUCAAAUGAUUCUUCCUGCUUGGCCUUCCAAAGUGCUGGGAUUACAGACAUGAGCCACCGUGCCUGGCCACGUCAAGCCUUUUGCGUGCAGUAGAUGAGCGGUUCUCAAAGUGUGGCCCCUGGACCUGCAGCAUUAGUAUUACCUCGGAGCUCGUCAGUAACGCAAACUCUGAAUGAUAAUUGUGAAGGUGGGGUCCAGCAGUCUGUGUUUGGAGGAGCCCCAGAGAUGGUUCCUGUCUAGUUCAUUUCAUUCUCACCACUGUGAGGCAGGCAGUGCAGUGGCCUUGAUUUUGUAGAUGCAGAAACUGAGGCAGAAGGAGGCAAAGUGACUUGCUGUGAGGACUGGAGCCCAGGCUGGUGUCAACCCAGAGCCCCAGUCUGGGACCCGCCUUCCGUGGUCCUCCCUGAAGCCAUCACCUUUCCUGGACAAGCUCCUAAAUGGGCUCAGGGCUUGUACUCUCCAAGAAGCCUUCAUGGAGGCCCCCGUUCCUCAGUCUCUGGAACGUUCCUCUUGCUCCUUAAUCACUGGUGCCUCACACCCCUGUUAAAGCACGUUUCCUCCUGGCCCACAAGCUCUCGGGGGUCGGGGGCACACGUUUGGUUUGUCUUGUCCCCUUCUCCCCUGCCAGGUGUGCUCCUUCCAUGCCUGGCACCCACAGGCCUCAUGGUGAAUGGCAGAGCAAGAGGAGGCCGGCUGCAGACCCCACUUGGGGCUGUGUCUGGGCCGGGCUGGGGGCGGCUGUGUGAAAGGCCGUCCUGUUUGAGCUGCUGCUGCUGUUCACGCCCGGCCCAUGUGCUCAUGUCCUGUGUGGGGCUUAGGUAAUGGGGCAGCAGGUGGCGGAACAGGGACCCGGGUGAGGCUGGCCCAGCCCUGCUGCAGGAUGAGCCGACUUUUCCAGGCCCCACUGAGUGCCGGUUCCUCCCACCGUCUGGCCCAGGUGCCAACACAAACAUGGGGCUCUUCCCUCCGGGGCUCUGGCUGUGGAGACCAGGGUCAGAAAACGGCACACAGGGCUCCCUUCACCUUGCCCAUGGGGAUUAACCCUUUGUACCCUGCUCUGACCUUAGGCCUGGGACACUGCAGAAGGGCAGUUGAAGCCAGGUGACUCGGUUUCCCCCAGGGCUCCACAGGCUUCUGGGGAUCUGGGGAGGUCACAGUGCUCUGUGUUUCUCAGGGCAUUGCUUGUUCACCUCCUCACCUGGCAGAUGGGGAAACUGAGACCUAGAAAAGAGAAGGUGGUCUCUUGCGGGGACUCUGUGAGCCCCCAGUUUCUACCCCGCUUCUCGUCUGUACGUUGGGCAUGGAAGCAGGAAUUCUGGACACACUAAACUGUUAGUUAGAGACCAUCAAACCACGAUCAUUCUGCCUGUGGGGAAGCUGAGGCGCAGAGAGGAAAAGGAACGUACCCAAGUUCCCAUCGCUGGUUGGCUGUGGGGCAAGGAUGAUGACGAUGAUGAUGAUGACGACGACAACCAUAAGAAUAAAAACCAACAGUUCUCGUGCUUAUUGUGCACUGGGGCCUGUUCUAAGUACUUUAUGAUCACCGACUCAUUUAGUCUUUACAAUAGCCCCAGGAGGUAGGAAUUUAUUAGUAUCCGCAUUUGACAGAUGAAGGGACUGAGGCACAGACAGGUUAAGUCACUUACUGAGGGUCACACAGCUAAUCUGUAGUGGAUCCAUG
rnacentral:lncRNA from 10 species